AGAAUUGGGGGAACCCCAGGGGGAAGGCGGCUUUUGGUUUGUAACUGACGCUGAGCGGGAAAGCGUGGGAGCAAACAGGAUUAGAACCCUGGUAGUCCACGCCGUAAACGAUGAGUGCUAAGUGUUAGAGGGUUUCCACCCUUUAGUGCUGUAGCUAACCCAUUAAGCACUCCCCCUGGGGAGUACGCUGCCAAGAGUGAAAUUCAAAGGAAUUGACGGGGGCCCGCCCAAGCGGGGGACCAUGUGGUUUAAUUGGAAGCAACGGGAAGACCCUUACCAGUUCUUGACUUCCCCUGCCAACCGGAGAGUUGGGGGGUUCCCCCUUCGGGGGGACAGGGUGACAGGUGGUGCAUGGUUGUCGUCAGCUCGUGUCGUGAGAUGUUGGGUUAAGUCCCGCAACGAGCGCAACCCUCGACCUUAGUUGCCAGCAUUCAGUUGGGCACUCUAAGGUGACUGCCGGCUAAAAGUCGGAGGAAGGUGGGGAUGACGUCAAAUCAUCAUGCCCCUUAUGACCUGGGCUACACACGUGCUACAAUGGGCGGUACAAAGGGUCGCGAACCCGCGAGGGGGAGCCAAUCCCAAAAAGCCGCUCUCAGUUCGGAUUGCAGGCUGCAACUCGCCUGCAUGAAGCCGGAAUCGCUAGUAAUCGCGGAUCAGCAUGCCGCGGUGAAUACGUUCCCGGGCCUUGUACACACCGCCCGUCACACCACGAGAGUUUGCAACACCCGAAGUCGGUGAGGUAACCCUUAC
rnacentral:rRNA from 1 species